CAUGCUGCGAGCAAGAGGAAACUAAUGGAGGCGCUGUGACAGAGAAAGGCAGAGUAGGAGACGGCAACCUUAACUGAUGUGAACAUGUGAUCUAUGUGAGGGGGACCUCAUCUGUCUUCUCAAGCACUGUGGCCCCAGCCCCAGAAGAAGACCUGGACAUAGGAGGCAUUUCAUGAAUGUUUGUCAAAAGAAGAACGUGGUCAGUUGUCGGGUAAGACAUUUCUAGUUCUCUUCAAACAGAUCCUGAUGCUUUAAAAAAAAAAAUUCAUCCCAGGGUUUUUUUUUUUUUUAAAACAGUUUUA